GGGUGAACUUGGCCAAAGGUUGACUAUCUUCACCUUGUUCAAUAAUGAGAAACAACUUAACAGCCGGACUGUUCUCACCAGGAGGAAGUGGGUAAGGAAGACACAUUUUGACCAUAAGUCUGAGAACAGUCAGCGGAAUUAACUGAGCGGGGAGAGGGACAGCGGGAGGGAGGGGAGAGAAGCAGGGAGAAAGGAGGUGUUGGGAGAAAGCACUGGGCCAGACAGCGCUCCCCUUGGCCACCAGGUGAAGCCCAUCGGCCAAACACAAUUCAGCUGCUGCCUGAACAAGUGGCGUGGAAGUUCAGGGUGUUGGGCCCUGAGAUGCUAGGAAGAGUGACAGGCCUGGUGUUGCUGGCCCCCCUGAGGCCCCAGGAGGAGGUGAGGGAGGGGAGCUGUGCUCUCUGGACCAGAGCUUGCACCCCCUUUCCUCAAACCUGCUCAACCCCUGAGACCUGGCUCAGGUGUACCUUCCUGAUCGCAUCCCCCCGCCCCCCCGUGGUAACUGCCUGUCUCCCCACCUAAAUUAAAACUUCCUCCACACCA